UACGUAGGGGGCAAGCGUUGUCCGGAAUUAUUGGGCGUAAAGCGCGCGCAGGCAGUCAUUUAAGUCUGGUGUUUAAUCCCGGGGCUCAACCCCGGAUCGCACUGGAAACUGGGUGACUUGAGUGCAGAAGAGGAGAGUGGAAUUCCACGUGUAGCGGUGAAAUGCGUAGAUAUGUGGAGGAACACCAGUGGCGAAGGCGACUCUCUGGGCUGUAACUGACGCUGAGGCGCGAAAGCGUGGGGAGCAAACAGG
rnacentral:rRNA from 1 species